AAGCUGUUAGUUUAAGAAAAACAUCUGAUUUCGGCUCAGAAGCUUAUGGUUAAAGUCCACAACUGCUUA
rnacentral:tRNA from 1 species